CCGUGAAGGUAGAGCACUGAAUAUGCGAUGGCCGCAUCCCGCGGUACUGAGCAUAAUCAAACUCCGAAUGUCACGGUGUCAUCUGCGGCAGUCAGACGGCGAGUGAUAAGGUCCGUCGUCAAGAGGGAAACAGCCCAGACCAUCAGCUAAGGUCCCAAAGUGCAUGCUAAGUGGAAAAGGAAGUGGAGACGUGCAGACAACUAGGAGGUUGGCUCAGAAGCAGCCAUCCUUGAAAGAGUGCGUAACAGCUCACUGGUCUAGUGGUUCCGCGCCGACAAUGUAGCGGGGCUCAAGCACACCACCGAAGACGCGGCAGCAAUCUUCAUGGUUGCUGGGUAGGAGAGCGUCCUGCGAGGGGCGAAGCGGCCGGGUAACCGUGCCGUGGACUUCGUGGGAGUGAGAAUGCAGACAUGAGUAGCGAGAGACGGGUGAGGAUCCCGUCCGCUGGAUGACCAAGGGUUCCGGGGCCACGUUCGUCGUCCCCGGGUGAGUCGGGUCCUAAGGCGAGGCCGACAGGCGUAGUCGAAUGGAUGAACGGGUGGAUAUUCCCGUACCGACCAUGGACCGGCAAAACCGAGACGGUGAGUACUAACCUCCGCCUCGUGGUGGUUCCUUCCUUCGGGUUGGUAUCGCCGCGUGGUGUUGGGACUGUAGCCGCAGUAGGUCAGCGCAGGGGUGACACGGAAUGGGAGCCGGCCGCGGAGGUGGUUUUCCGUGGUCAAGCACGCAGCCAGUCAUGUAGGCAAAUCCGCAUGGCGCGCAUGGCGAGGUGUGAUGAUGGGAGCCGUUAUGGCUCGAUAUCCGGUUGUCCAGGCCGUCGAGAAAAGCCUCGGCGUGAGGGCCAUGGCCGCCCGUACCCCAAACCGACACUGGUGGUCAGGUAGAGAAUACCAAGGCGAUCGAGCGAAUCCUGGUCAAGGAACUCGGCAAAUCACUCCCGUGCCUUCGGUAUAAGGGAGACCCACUGGGGUGAAGGACCUUGCGUCCGGAGCUUUGGUGGGUGGCACAGACCAGGGGGUAGCGACUGUUUACCAAAAACACAGGUGCAUGCGAAGGCGAAAGCCGCUGUAUAUGCACUGACGCCUGCCCGGUGCCGGAAGGUUAAGAGGAUCCGUCAAUCCCUUCGGGGACGAAGCGGUGAAUUCAAGCCCCGGUAAACGGCGGUGGUAACUAUAACCAUCCUAAGGUAGCGAAAUUCCUUGUCGGGUAAGUUCCGACCUGCACGAAUGGCGUAACGACUUCCCCACUGUCUCGACCAGGAGCUCGGCGAAAUUGCAGUACGAGUAAAGAUGCUCGUUAAGCGCAGAAGGACGAAAAGACCCCGGGACCUUUACUAUACCUUGGUAUUGGCGUUAGGCGCGGAUUGUGUAGCAUAGGCGGGAGGCUUCGAAGCGGGUGCGCCAGCAUUCGUGGAGCCGCAAGGUGAAAUACCGCUCUGUUCUCGUUUGACGUCUAACCUCGACAAGUCAUCCUUGUCAGGGACAGUGCCUGGCGGGUAGUUCAACUGGGGCGGUUGCCUCCCAAAGAGUAACGGAGGCGCUCAAAGGUCCGCUCAGCCCGGUUGGCAAUCGGGUGUCGAGUGUAAUCGCACAAGCGGGCUUGACUGCGAGGACGACGGUCCGAGCAGGGACGAAAGUCGGAGAUAGUGAUCCGGUGCCGGCGCACGGGCGCGGCAUCGCUCAACGGAUAAAAGGUACCCCGGGGAUAACAGGCUGAUCAUUCCCAAGAGUCCAUAUCGACGGGAUGGUUUGGCACCUCGAUGUCGGCUCGUCGCAUCCUGGGGCUGGAGCAGGUCCCAAGGGUUCGGCUGUUCGCCGAUUAAAGCGGCACGCGAGCUGGGUUCAGAACGUCGUGAGACAGUUUGGUCUCUAUCCUCUGCGCUCGUUGGAAUCCUGAGGAGGCCUGCCCAUAGUACGAGAGGACCUGGGUGGACGAACCUCUGGUAUGCCGGUUGUCGCGCCAGCGGCACGGCCGGUUGGCUACGUUCGGGAGGGAUAACCGCUGAAAGCAUCUAAGCGGGAAGCCUGCUCCAAGAUUAGGAUUCCGUACGGUCUUGAACCGUUGUAGCCCGCAUGUUGAACACGUGUUUGAUAGGCCGGAGGUGGAAGCCCCGUGAGGGGUGGAGCCGACCGGUACUAACGGGCGAUGGCGACAUAAC
rnacentral:rRNA from 1 species